rnacentral:rRNA from 1 species
ACGGGUGAGUAACGCGUGGGAAUCUACCCAUCUCUACGGAAUAACGCAUGGAAACGUGUGCUAAUACCGUAUACGUCCUUCGGGAGAAAGAUUUAUCGGAGAUGGAUGAGCCCGCGUUGGAUUAGCUAGUUGGUGGGGUAAAGGCCUACCAAGGCGACGAUCCAUAGCUGGUCUGAGAGGAUGAUCAGCCACACUGGGACUGAGACACGGCCCAGACUCCUACGGGAGGCAGCAGUGGGGUAUAUUGGACAAUGGGCGCAAGCCUGAUCCAGCCAUGCCGCGUGAGUGAUGAAGGCCCUAGGGUUGUAAAGCUCUUUCACCGGUGAAGAUAAUGACGGUAACCGGAGAAGAAGCCCCGGCUAACUUCGUGCCAGCAGCCGCGGUAAUACGAAGGGGGCUAGCGUUGUUCGGAUUUACUGGGCGUAAAGCGCACGUAGGCGGACUAUUAAGUCAGGGGUGAAAUCCCGGGGCUCAACCCCGGAACUGCCUUUGAUACUGGUAGUCUUGAGUUCGAGAGAGGUGAGUGGAAUUCCGAGUGUAGAGGUGAAAUUCGUAGA